rnacentral:rRNA from 1 species
UACGUAGGCAGCAAGCGUUGUUCGGAAUUACUGGGCGUAAAGAGUGUGUAGGCGGUGCUCCAAGUCUGGUGUGAAAUCUCCCGGCUUAACUGGGAGGGUGCAUUAGAAACUGGAAUGCUAGAGGAUGGGAGAGGUAAGCGGAAUUCCUGGUGUAGCGGUGAAAUGCGUAGAUAUCAGGAGGAACACCUGUGGCGAAAGCGGCUUCCUGGCCUGUAACUGACGCUGAGACGCGAAAGCGUGGGGAGCGAACCGG